rnacentral:rRNA from 1 species
GCGUAACGCGUAUGCAACCUGCCCCCAUCAGGGGAACUAGCCCGCCGAAAGGCGGAUUAACUGCCCCAUAGGCCCAGGGCGCCGCAUGGCGCUAUGGGUAAAGCUCCGGCGGAUGGGGAUGGGCAUGCGUGCCAUUAGCUAGUUGGGCGGUAACGGCGCACCAAGGCGACGAUGGCUAGGGGGUCUGAGAGGAUGGUCCCCCACACUGGUACUGAGACACGGACCAGACUCCUACGGGAGGCAGCAGUGAGGAAUAUUGGUCAAUGGGCGGAAGCCUGAACCAGCCAUGCCCGCGUGCAGGAUGACGGCCCUACGGGUUGUAAACUGCUUUUCCCCGGGAAGAAUAAGCCCCUCGUGAGGGGUGAUGCCGGUACCGGGGAAUAAGGAUCGGCUAACUCCGUGCCAGCAGCUGC